GCCAGGGUGGGCUAGUGGUUGAGUGCUAACUAUGACUCUGGAGGCCAGGGUUCAAAUCCCUGCUCAAACU